rnacentral:lncRNA from 1 species
GGUUAUUGGCUUCUUUUUAUUUGGUUAAAGAACAUUAUGAAAUUUUAAACAUUGGUGUAGUCUGAUUACCAAUAAAAUUUCAUCUAUAUGGAGCUGAUGGUACUAAAUUUCAAAAAGCCUUUCUGCCUAGUUUGGACCAGAGGAUAUUCUUGAUAGAGCUCAUCUCAGAAUCACUUGGAGUCCCAUGUGUCUAUGCAAAACCAUUAAUCUCAAAAUGUGUCUAAACACCAACUUUGAGACAGGCUGCAAUUUACUGUUCUCUGUGACAGACAAAUAGCUAGGGGAGAGCUGUCAUUUAACCCCAAUGCUUUCUUUGGUAGUCAGGGAAAGAAAGGUUUUUUUUAUACUGCCUUGUCAUAAAACAACUACAAAAUCCAUCAAUGUGGUAUAACUUUACAUAUAAAAGUAAUACUAUGCAUAGAUAUUUUAGUCAUCGUGUGAAAAAUAAACAAGACAGCCUGUAAAUCAAUGUCAUUCCCAAGGAAUCAUCAUGGACAUGUAUUGACUGAUUUUAUAGCUAAAAUAGAAAAUAGAUGUAAAUUUGACGGUUCUGUUUUGACAGAGAUGCUUUUGGCCAUACCACCAACCUGUGUACACAAACACCAAAUUAGGAAGGAGUCUCAUUUACAAAAGCUGAGCUUGUCCUCUUUAUAGGUGUUCAGAUAUCAUUAGGUUAGAUUAAGUUCCUGAUUAUGAGAUAUGUAUUUUGCAAAAUGCACGUUAACCUAAAAGCCUGGCAUAAAUUAGGACACAAAAG